GAUAAACGCUGGCGGCGUGCAUGAGACAUGCAAGUCGAACGGACUUCUCGGGCUUGCUCGAGAGGUUAGUGGCGGACGGCUGAGUAACGCGUAGGUGACCUGCCCCGAAGUGGGAGUAACUGCCCGAAAGGGUAGGCUAAUACCGCAUGUGAUCGCUCAUUCUAUUUGUUUCGAUCAAAGACAGUGAUGCGCUUCGGGAGGGGCCGUGCGUCCGAUUAGCNCGUUGGUGGGGUAAUGGCUCACCAAGGCGACGAUCGGUAGGUGGUCUGAGAGGACGAUCACCCAGACUGGGACUGAGACACGGCCCAGACUCCUACGGGAGGCAGCAGUGGGGAAUAUUGGACAAUGGGCGCAAG
rnacentral:rRNA from 1 species